UACAGAGGGUGCGAGCGUUGUCCGGAAUCACUGGGCGUAAAGGGCGCGUAGGUGGUGGCUUAAGCGUGCGGUGAAAGCUCGGGGCUCAACCCCGAGUCGGCCGUGCGAACUGGGCUCACUGGAGCAUAGUAGAGGCAGGUGGAAUUCCGGGUGUAGCGGUGGAAUGCGUAGAGAUCGGGAGGAAUACCUAUGGCGAAAGCAGGCUUCUGGGCCAUCACUGACACUGAUCUGCGAAAGCUAGGGGAGCAAACAGG
rnacentral:rRNA from 1 species